AUACGGAGGGUGCAAGCGUUACUCGGAAUCACUGGGCGUAAAGCGCGCGCAGGCGGCUAUUUAAGUUGGAUGUGAAAGCCUACGGCUCAACCGUAGAACUGCAUCCAAAACUAUUUAGCUAGAGUGUGGGAGAGGAAGAUGGAAUUAGUUGUGUAGGGGUAAAAUCCGUAGAGAUAACUAGGAAUACCAAAAGCGAAGGCAAUCUUCUGGAACACUACUGACGCUGAGGCGCGAAAGCGUGGGGAGCGAACAGGAUUAGAUACCCUAGUAGUCC
rnacentral:rRNA from 1 species